GACGAACGCUGGCGGCGUGCUUAACACAUGCAAGUCGAGCGGUAAGGCCCUUUCGGGGGUACACGAGCGGCGAACGGGUGAGUAACACGUGAGUAACCUACCCUCAACUCUGGGAUAAGCCCGGGAAACCGGGUCUAAUACCGGAUAUCACUUCUUGCCACAUGGUGGGGGGUUGAAAGUUCUGGCGGUUGGGGAUGGGCUCGCGGCCUAUCAGCUUGUUGGUGGGGUGAUGGCCUACCAAGGCGUCGACGGGUAGCCGGCCUGAGAGGGCGACCGGCCACACUGGGACUGAGACACGGCCCAGACUCCUACGGGAGGCAGCAGUGGGGAAUAUUGCGCAAUGGGCGGAAGCCUGACGCAGCAACGCCGCGUGAGGGAUGACGGCCUUCGGGUUGUAAACCUCUUUCAGCAGGGACGAAGCGAGAGUGACGGUACCUGCAGAAGAAGGACCGGCCAACUACGUGCCAGCAGCCGCGGUAAUACGUAGGGUCCGAGCGUUGUCCGGAAUUAUUGGGCGUAAAGAGCUCGUAGGCGGUUUGUCGCGUCGGCCGUGAAAACUUGGGGCUUAACCCCAAGCCUGCGGUCGAUACGGGCAGACUUGAGUUCGGCAGGGGAGACUGGAAUUCCUGGUGUAGCGGUGAAAUGCGCAGAUAUCAGGAGGAACACCGGUGGCGAAGGCGGGUCUCUGGGCCGACACUGACGCUGAGGAGCGAAAGCGUGGGGAGCGAACAGGAUUAGAUACCCUGGUAGUCCACGCCGUAAACG
rnacentral:rRNA from 1 species